GUUGUGACUGCCCUGGGUGUGCCUGCCUACAAGACAGCCCAUCUUGCAAGACUGUUAUUAAAAGUCUCAGUUUCGCUGAUCUUCGUGCCUGAGACGACGAGAAAGAGAACAGACCACCUGUCCAGAUAAUUUGCCUUUGGAGUCUGCAGGGCUGGUGAAGGCAUCCUGAGAUGGGGGAGGCCCCUGGGGACCUCCACAGUCAGGGCUCCCACCUCCUCUCCCACACCGCUCUGCCUCAUGCCCUGGGUUGCCUGUCUGACUGUCUCAAGACUGGGGGUUCUCCGGUGAGCAGAUGGCUGCUUAGCGUCUGAGGGGCAGACACCAUGCCGUGGUGACAGCGUGAUCCCUUGAUGGAAAGGCCACCAGAACCACUGGUAGUGCAGCUGGACACUGCGGAGCCCUGGGACCACACCCGCUGCCUCCCUCCAGACUCCUUAGGUCUAUGCCGUGUGCCUGGCUUUUUCCAACCACUCCGAAUUGAUCAUUUCCUAAUGACCACAUGGCUCAGAAACUCACAGCACAUCCUUCUAGGGGCCUCUUUCUCCCAAGUCCUCCCAGGGACUUGGCAGCUUCAUCUCUAAGGCCUGCAGAGGCUGUGGCUAUGGCUGUCCAUUGUUCUCGCUCCUUGGCUUCAGUUCAGAGCCAUCAAAUCCCUGCAGCUCGCACACUGGAACAUUCAUAUUUUGGAUAAGUCAACAAAACAGCUUCUAGAAAAUGGAAAACCCAGAGUGUGAUCUACCAGGAGCUCCUGGUUUCAACCAGUUCCUUGCUGUACCUGCUGGGCCUGUGAUACGAAGAAACAUCAUGGCUUCAAUGGCAGCCUUGGAAAUGAACUUCAUUGAAAGGGAAUUUACACUGAGGUUUAUGAUUGCUGCUAUGAAAAGAGUGCACAUCCUUUCCUUCGAAACACAAGACUAGAAAAAAAAAACUCUAAAAUUCAUACGGAACCACAGAAGACCCUGAAUAGCCAAAGCAAGCUUGAGAAAAAAGAUUUAAAAGAAAAGCUGGAGACAUCACAGCUCUUAGGUCAAAUUAUACUACAAAACUAUGGUAAUCAAAACACUAAGGUACUGGCAUAAAAACAAAUACGUAGACAAAUGGAACAAAACAGAUAGCCCAGAAAUAAGCCCAACCAUACAUGGUCAACUAGUUUUCCACAAAGGCACCAAAGAAUCAUAAUGAGGAAAGGAUGGCCUCUCCAAUAAAUGACCUUGAGAAAACUGUAUAUCCACAUGCUAAAAAAAGAAAAAAAAAAAAAAAAAGGAAAUUGGACCCUUCUCUUCCAACAUGCACAAAAAUCAACUCAAGAUGGACUAAAGACCUAAAUGUAACACCUGAAACCAUAAAAGUCCUAAAGGAAAACACACAAGAAAAACUCUAUGACAUUGGCCUUGGCAGUGAUGUUUUGGAUAUUUCAAGUUAACUCGUCAUUCACUGACUCCACAUAAAAUCCAUCCCUCAAAUAUUCUCAGAACCUAUCACCAAGACUGUGAUCACUUCUUUGGGAUGCUUUAAAGUUAAUUAGGAAAAAUAAAACUGGGUUUUACCUUUGAAAAACUUUCUAACUGUACUGAUGUGCUCAAAUAGAUGGACACAUGAAUGAAAAAUCCAGAAUUUAUUCUUUCCAUGUGGUCUAGGUCCCUCCAUAUGUUUCUCUGGAUUUUGCCAUUCACUGAAUGCACACGAACACUGAAUUUACUCUCUAUUGCUGUGUAACAAGUUAUUGUAAAAUGUAUUGGCUUAAAACAACAAAUACCAUUUUUGCAGCUUCUGUGGAUCAGGAAUCAUGAAGCAGCUUAGUCGGGUAUUUCAGGCUCAGGGCCUCUCAUGAGGUUGCACUGUAGAUGUGAGCCAAGGCUGCCGUCAUCUGAAGACUGGACUAGGGAUGGAAGCUCUGCAUUUGGGAUCAUACUCAUGGCUGUGGCCCGGAGGCCUCAUUUUUUCACCCUUGGGCCUCUCCGUGGGGCUGCUGCCAACAGGGCCUCCCUAGAAGGAAUGACCCAAGAAGAAGAAAGAAAGACCAAGCUAGAAACCACCGUGUCUUUCAUAACCCAAUAUCAGGAAUGAAGAAGCACCUCUUCUGUGUUCUUUUGGUCUCGCAGACCAACCCUGGUACCAUGUGGAAGGAAAUUACACAAGAGUGUGACUAUCAGGAAUUGAGGAUCACUGGGGCACCUGGAGGCUGGAGUCUACAGGUACUUUAUGGCGAGUCAUGGCGAUGGUGAGGAAGCAGCUACUUUCAUCACAGGUAAAAACUGAUACACAAAACACACAAACAGAGAGGAGCCCUAUAUUUCUGCUUCUCCUUCAGGGUGAAUAGCAGCCACCAUUCACCCUACCAGAGAGAUGUUCUUUAUUUUUUUAUUGCUGGCUGGAUCUUAGGCAAAAUAAGCCUCUCCUGUUUCCCCAGUUGAGGACAAUUGAGAAAGGCUUAUGUUUGCCAAAGAAUAUCUCAUGCUAGCAACAAAACUUUUAAGGAAAUAAUUACAGAAAGCACACAACACCCUACAGUGAGCAGAACGCAGCUCCUUCCCUCCACCCACCUCCCCACUACAGAGAAUGAUCCAGCCCAAUGCCAAAAGCACUGAAGCCGGGAACCCUGACUGAGAUCUCAGCUUCAAUGCUCCUUCCUCAGAGACCUUUCUGUCCCUGACCUUUCUGAGGAGUAUACCCUCUUUUUAUGGGCCCUCAAAACCCCCUCCCUGUGGCAUUUGUUUUAGUUAACAAUUCUACACUUAUGCAUGUGAAUUUGUGAUUAGCAUCCAUCUCCCCCAUCACAGUUAUGAGGGCGAGAGCUAGUUUCCUCCCUGUUGUGCAGGGCACAUAGCACAACGCCUGGCCCCGUAGUCAGGCUCACUAAAUAUUUGCUGAAAGUAGAAAUGAAUAAACAGGACUGUAGCUUCUAGGGGCUUCUGUGGGAGCCAGUAUCGCCAUUCAUACCUGGGGAUUAUGGGAUAUUUUCAACAAAAACAUGCACUUUGCACAAAGUGAAAGUCAGAGCCUGGAGCCUGUGCAAACGGUGCCUUGAGCAGCUCUACGGCGAGUGUGAGGAUGCAGUCAGGGGUCCUUCAGCAGGAGCCGGGGCAUCCUGCAGAACACAGGGCCGGGAUCUUCAGAUGUGCAGCAGGGAGGGGGCUUGGCACAGCCCCAUGAGUUUGAGAAGCUUGAGGCAUUAAGGUGAGUUUCUUGUGGUGCAGCGCGCCAGCAGUGAAGGGAAGUGGUUCUCUCUCCCCUCAUGCACAGACACGCACAAUGUCCAGGAUCCAGGCAGAGAAGCUUCAUCAAAGUUGUCUGUGUUUUGCCGCAGCCGAAUAAAAGCUGUAGGCUUUUCUAAGAAGGGUUAUAAAAGGGAGCAGCCGUGAAGCCCGUGGACAAGUCAUCAAUUACAGCAAUUACAGUAGCACCAUAACCUUCCCAGGCUUGCUGGAGGGAGGUUGCUGUGGCCACAGGAGGUGCACCGCGGAUUACAGGACUAAAGGCCUUCUCUGCUUCUUCACAGUGAUCCAUCUCUGCCCAGCACCCAAGUACUGAGUUAACCUACAACGUGGUUCAGAAUUAAAACAUAAAAUGCCAGGGCCCUCCCCCAGUUAGCAGUAUUGGUUGGAAACAUGUUUAGCAGUGAGUAACAGAAGUCCCAAGAAAUAAUGGCUAAAACAAACAAGAGUAUGUGUCUUCACAUAGUAAGGUAUCAAGAGGUGGCUGUCACUUUAAGUUCACUUUCUCAUGGAUGCCAUCAAACACCAGGUUUAUUCAACCUUCAUGCACUGCCAUCACCUUCCCAUCCACGGACUCUUCCGACAUCUGCUGAACGUCAUCACAAGGGGGCUGCCAUAGCUCCACCCGUUGUAUCAGCAUUCAGGGAAGGAGGACAGUGCCAACAAUAUGUCUGCUCAUUUUUUUAAGAGAGGAAAAGACUCUCCUGGAAGUCCACGGCAGCAUUAUGCUUACUUCUUACUUGCCAGAACUUUGUCAUAUGGUCAGACUUUAAAGCAGAGAGGCCUUUGCUGUCAGUGGAAUACAGCAACACACAAGACAGACACAGUUGCCUUCCCGCUGAGGCUGGACGUCUACAAAGAAACUCUGGACAGCUAUUUGCCAAGGCGAUGGGCACUACAGAUGAGACGCACAAAUGAUAUGACUCAUGGGUGACGCUGGGCAAACCUCGGUGGUUGAGUCCUGUUGGGUUUUCUCAUAGGAGGUGCUUCCAGGAACAUUCUUGUGCAAGACCGUGUGAGAGUAUCUCCAAGAUAGACAAGUGGAAGUGAAAUUCUGGGCCAUAGUGGAUGAACACUUGCCAAGAGGUGUUGACAAAUUAGUCUUAAAUGAACCUGUACUGCAUUUUAAGGCCUGGGAGCUCUUAGUGGCCCCAUCCUUUCCAAAGCUUGUGUGGUUGGCCGAGUAAUGUCUUCCAAGAUGUCCAAUUCCCAAUCCCUGGAACUUCUGAAUGCUAGCCUGUAUGACAAAAGAGACUCUGAAGCUGGGAUUAAGUUAAGAAUCUUGAGUGGGGAGAUUAUCCUGGAUAAUCCAAAUGGGUCCUUAUAAGAAAGAGGCAUGAGAUCAGAGAACCAGAAGGUGAUGUGAGGAUGGAAUCUAAGAGAGAGUUGAGGAUGCUGUGGCUGCUGGCUUUGAAGGUGCAGGAAGGGCCAUGAGCCAAGGAAUGUGAGAAAUGGAGCUGGAGUUGCCAGAAAAGGCAAGAACAGGGAAUCUUCCUGAGAGGCUGCAGAAGGAGCCAGCUGUGCAACACCUUGACUUUAGCCCAGCGAGACUGUUUUCCAACUUCUGAGCUCCAAAACUAGCUUUCCAAGGUGAAAGUGUUGGACACUCUUUCUUCAUCUCAGAUUUAAUCAACUAAGAAUGCUGCAAAUUGAACACCAGUCCACAAAACUCAGGAAUACAUGAAAAGCAUUGUGCCUUAUUUUUAACUAACUCAAAUUCUAUGUCAGUCUCCCUUUUAUGCUGGAUGUUGGCGCUAAAUCUCAGUGGGUUCCUCAUUCUGCCAGACCUGUGUCCAGUUUGGGGGCUUCACAUAGAGCCACCCCAUCACAGGAGAGGGAAGGGUCUUGCUCUUGGUUGCCAUCACUCCACCCUCUUGUCUUCCGAGCUUUGAUGUUCACUUUCCUUUUCACCACUCGGAAGCUUCCUGCCAUGAUACAUUGAGACCUCAAUGUUAAUGCCAAUUGGGGUUUGGGGUUCUCAUAAACUCAGAAGUCCAGGAAAAUCGCCUGCUGCCUCCCACAACACUCUGAGGGCAUUCUGGAAUCCUACCACUUACCUGGAGCCUGCUGGCCUCAACUGUUUUGAAGUCUGUGUCUGGGCCAUGCAGGUAAAUGGGAGGAUGUUCUGUGGCCAUAAAAAUACCCGAAGUCCCACCUAAAGUUGAUGCAGGGUCUUCUGCAUUUCAUUGCAAAAUUGUUCUAUCAUUUCUAUAGUUUUCAGCCUACAGUCAGGGGCCAGGACUUUGCACCCUUGGUAAACCUCAAUCUCUUCUCCUUCCUGGCUUCUACUCCUUUCUCCCUCAAUCCCAAAUCAAGGCCCUUGAUUGUCUGGAGGUAGGAAAGCCUGGUUCUGGCUCAUGAUAUAGUCUACAUCAUAGCCUUUGUCAUCUCAUGGAUUCACUCAACAACCGUGUGUGGAUGGGGCCACCCAAUAUGUGCCAGGAGUUGAGGACACGCAGGGUUAUGAUGAUGAAAUAGAUAAGGGGCCCACACUCACGGACCCUGCAGGACAGUGGAGCUGUGGACCCAGCAUGCGAGUAAAGACCCAGUGAGCUCACCAGACAGAUCAUUUAAAUCAGGUGAUAGGACAGUGAAGGGCGGGGGCUGCAUUAGUUUUGGUGGCAAGAGAAGGAUUAUCUUCUGAGAGGAUCCACAAAGUAAAGAGGGCCGGUAUGACUGGGUAGAGUGAGGACCGUGGUUGAGGCAGAAGAUGGAGCUCUUUAUUGAGCUCUAGGGAGCCCGUCGGAUGGGACCUACGGGGCUUGAGGGAGCCCAUCGGAUGGGACCUACGGGGCUUGAGGGAGCCCAUCGGAUGGGACCUACGGGGCUUGAGGGAGCCCAUCGGAUGGGACCUACGGGGCUUGAGGGAGCCCAUAGGAUGGGACCUACGGGGCUUGGCGGACUUAAUUUUAAAUGUGGAAGAAGCCAUUGCAGAGCCUGAACCUGAGGUGUGGCAUGGUUCGAGUUACUUCAAACCAAAUUUAUUGAAAUCUCUUUGCAUAAAAUGCAAUGCGUAGAUCUUAAGAGUAUAGUUCAAUGAGAUUUGAUAAAUGUAUGCACCAGUGUAACAACUCCUCCAGUCAAGAUAAAGAAACGUCCCUCACUAUUUCCUCAUGCCCCUUCAUAGUCAAUAUCUGAUCCACUCAGCCUAGGCAACCAUUGAUCUGCUUUUAUCACCAUAGAUAUUUGGGUAUGAGUCUUUGUAUGAUCAGCUAUUUUUAUGUUGCUUGGGUAAAUAUUUAGGAAUAGAACUGCUGAGGCCAAGGAUAGAAUAUUUAACUUGAUUGCCGACUGUUUUUCCCAAGUGGUUGUACCACGUUCUGCCUCCACCAGCAUGUGUGAGUUUCCAGGGCUUCUUGUCCUUGCCAGAUACCAGGUGGUUGCAUGCCGUGUCCCAGUGGCUGUUGGGAAUCACAGUAGCUGGGCCCAAGAUGACUCUGGAGGACUUUACAUUUGCGCCCAUCUGUGGGUCCUCCUAUGCCAGUGUUUCCCAAAGCAUGGGCCAUGCGCAUUAUUCUUUCCAAAAUGAUGUCAUAUGGUGCAUAGGAAUGUCAUGGAAUACAAUGGAAUCACUCUGGAAGGAACUUUUCCCUUCUCAGGUGUUGUUUGAAUAUUCCUGAUGUGAUCGAGGAGAUUAACUGCUACUUAACAUCUCUGCACCGCUUGCUAAACUCCUUGUUAAAAUUAUGCUUUUUAUUUUGAAGGAGUUCUAGAUUCACAUGCGUUGUAAGAAAUAACAGAGAGAUUGCAUGUACUCUUCACCCAGUUUCUCCCAAUGGUAACAUCUUGCGAAACUAUGGUGCAAAAUCAAAACCAAAUCUCUUUUUAUAACAAAGAGAGGGUUCCCACCUCAAGCUCAGAUCCUUCCCUGUGUAGCUAGAACUUAGUAACAGUGUUUUAUUUUAUUAUAUUCAGUUUCAAGGGUUACAUUCUAUUUAUAACAAAUGAUACUGGUUUUCCCUUUACAAUAAUGAUAAAAUUUUAUUACUGAGUAAAUUGAUUUAUGUUUAAAAAUUGAGUUAUUUUAAAGAAUAUAUUAUAUAAAUGAUUGUGCUAGCUGUAUGAAAAUGAAAGUGAAUGAUACAUAAUUGAAUUUCAGGAAACACUGAAAACACUGAAGCUACACUAUCAAAUGGAAUGCUUUCCAGACCCUACUUUUUCUACAUUGAACAACUACUAUGAAUCUGAUACAUCAUGAAUAAACCCAUCAAUUCACUGCAUUUAUGCACGCAAUCGAUAUUUAUUGAGGGCCUUAUGAAUGUAACGAUUUUUCUGGGCCUUGAGGAUGACACAAAGAUGAAACAAAUCAGACAGAUAUCCUAAAUUCAAAUAAUGCAUAGCCUUGCAGGGAGACAUUCAUUCACUCCAUGAAUAUUUAUGAGCACCUGGCAGGUGGCAGGUGUAUUCUAAAAAUGAGGAGGAAGCAGCAGAGGCCAGUGGAGUGCAGCUGUUUGGGGGUUCACAUGUCACUGGUAAGACAGACAAAGAGCAGGAUUCAUGGCAUUUUCUAUGAAGAUGACAAAACUUCAUGGAAAAGUAAAUGCUUGGGGAGGAGACAUGGGGAGGCCUUGUUGUACAGGCAGGUCAGGGAUGGUCUAGCUGAGGAGGAGGCACCAGAGCUGAGGCUGACAUAAGAGAAGGAGCCAAACAUGCAAAGAAGCAGUGGGAAAGUGCUCCAGGCACAGCAACAGCAAAUGCCAAGGCUGUGAGCUGGGCAUGAAACGGGUAUAAUUAUUACACAGUAGCUCUAAUUCAGGAAGGAGGAAGGGCCAAGUGUCUGGAAGAUGCAGAGUUUGGAAUAUGGAAGGGAACAGGCAAAGCUGGAAACAGUCUGAGCCCAUAAAGGCUGCACAUCAGCUCUGUAGCCAUCGGUGGAGCUGAAAGAGACAGGACAAAGGCUCAUAGGAAAGGCAGGACCUGUCCUGAGCUUGAACAACAGAGACGACCUUGAGAAACCUAUUUGCAAAAUGCUUCAAGCAUAAAUGCCAUUUCCUACUAUAACUUUCCAUAGUAGCAGGUUGAAUUGAAUCCCCCAAAAUAUUACAUUCAAAUCCUAACCCCCAGUAUCUAUGAAUGUGCCUUUAUUUGGAAACAAUCUCUUUGUAGAUGUCAUCAAGUUAAGAUAACAUCAUACAGGAUUAGGGUGGGCCCUAAAUCCAAUGAUGUCCUUUUAAAAAGCUGGACACAGAAACACAGAGAGGAGAAUGCCAGUCUAAAGUGGAGGCAGAGCUUGGAGGGAUAUGCCUACAAUAAAACAAGAAACACCAAGGAUUUCUGGAGCCAAGAAAGAGGAAUGGAACAGAUUCUCCCUCAAAGCCCUCGGAAGGAACCAACCCUGCCAACUCUUGACUUCCAACUUCUGGCCUCAAGAACUGAAAUAACACAUUUCUGUGGUUUUAGUCCCCCAAGCUGUGGCAACUAUCUUCAGCAGCCCCAGGACGCUAACAUAGCUCUGCUUCCCUUUGCAGAGCUGGGCAGGGAUUCUGCCACCUGAGGGUUUGGCAUCCAAUUCUUCUGUGAGAUAUUUACUCUUAGUGCCUUAGGCGCCAAUUAUUGUCUUUGAUUAAUUUCAGGGCCUCAAAUUGUGAACCCCUCAGUUUUUCUAACAAUGCCCCUCCUAACCCCAGUCAAGGCCAGCAGUGUUGAAGGGUUCAUUGGGAGGGGACCUGCACUGGCUGUUUGGACUAUCAGCUCCACCAGUGCCUACUGUGGCCUGUGCUUUCUUAGCACAUUUUUAAAGAAAUAAGCUAUUGAACUUGUUGAAAUAAUAAAACAACCCAGGAAUCACCUGAUCCAAAUAAACAAACACCAAUUAACUGCCACUGUGGUGGGCAGAUUCUAGGAUGGUCCAAAUGCUACAGCCUUCUGAAAUUCACAUCCUGGAGUGAUCUCUUCACAAGUGUGGGAUGGACCUAGUGACUGGCUCCUAAUGAGCAGAAUAUGGUAGAAGGGAUAAGACGCUGCUUCUGAGAUUGGGUCAUAAAAAGGCUGUGGCUUUUGCCUUGGGCACUCUCUCCUGGCCACAUCCUAAGGCAGUCUCACAGACAGGCUCACUUGGUCAGGAAUGGUGGCCUCCCUACAGACACAUGAAUGAGCUUGCAAACAGACCCCAGUCAGCCUUGAGGUAACUGCAGGCCCAGUAACACCUGGGUGCAGCCUGGUGAGAGACCCCAAGCUGGAACCACCUAGCUCAGCCAUACCCAGAUUCCCAGCCCAUAGAAACUACAAGAUAAUAAAUGUUUGUUGUUUUCAGCCACUAGGUUGUUGGAAUAAUCAGCUAUUCAGCAAUAGAUACCCAGCGUCCUCACUGUGGGGCUGCAGAGUGCUUUGAAUACCAAAAUGUUUAUUAAAGAGGAAAAUUAUCUUGGAUGAGCAUAGAUCAGAUAAGGUCAGAUUAGGGUGCUGUACUUCAUUCAUUCAUUCAGUUAGGUACACUUCAUUCAUUCAUUCAGUUAGCCAGUCAGCCACACUCAUUCCUUUAUUCAUGCUGCUAUGUGCCAAGUAUUGUCCUGGGCACUGGAGAUAAUGAAAAUAAAAACAGCCCCUGUCCAUAAUGACAUCAUAGUCUAAUGAAGAUGACAGGGCAUAUUUAAAUAAUUGCUUUUGUGAGAUAAAUGCUAACAUAUGUUCAGUCACUUUUUCAACCAACAGACAUUUUCUGAGUGCUUGCCAUUGUGCCAACCUUGUGCUAAAUGCUGGGCUUCAUACCAUGGGCAAGACUGGCCUGGGUCCUUUUCUCGUGGAGGCCAUGGUCUGCGUAGGAGGCACUUCACCCUCCAAGUACACACAGGGAAAGAAUAACUGCUCUGUCUGGUCUUAAGGGAGGGCUUCCAAAACGAAGUUCUUGAAGGAAGCCUUGAAAAAAGAGUAGGAAGUACUCUUGUUCCAGUAGUUCUGGCAGAAGAAUGGGAAGGAAAUUCCAAGGAACAGAAUGUGUGUUACUUGGAAGCAUGUGACAAUGUGGUGUGUCUGUGUCUGCAGUCCAGCAAGGAGUUCGACCUCGCUGAAUACUUUGCCUCUGAUACCACAAAGAAGGGUGCUUCUGGAUGUUUACUGCAGCAAGACUUGCAACCCUGGACACUAAGCUACCACCUGAAUGUUCGUGGGUGCCUGUUGUCUACUCAGGAUCCACACCAUGGGCACCACUGUCCCCAAGGAGGGAAGGUAGAGCCCUCCCAGGGUUCUCAGCCUCAGUAUUACUGACUCACUCUGUUGAUAGCCUGUCCUGUGCAGUGUAGGAUGUUUAGCAACAUCCCUGGCCUCUGCCCACUAGAUGCCAGUAGCUCCCCCUCCCACAUUGUGACAACCAACAUUUUCCCUGGGUAUCACCAAAUGUCCCCUGGGUGGGGGCAAAAUUGCUCCCAGGUGAUAAUCACUGCUCUUUAGAACCAACAUAUUAUUAAAAGACCAGAGAAAGACAUGAUCUUAAUUCCUAAUUCUAUGUAAAAAAAAAAGAAAAGUGAAUGUAUGUGCAUGCCCAUAGCUAUAGGAAUUGAUGGCUAAGGUCUAUGGAGCACACUCUUAUGCUCCCCAAGGUUAAAGAAUUUCCAUGAGGAGACAGUGGUGUGACAGAGACACUCAAAGGAGGGUUUAGCCUCUUUCACUCAGUGUACUCUGCAAUGAUUAAAUUGAUUAUAAUAAGAAUGUUUCCAUGUUAUCAGUUGUUUAAAGAAGUUCAAAUAUGCCCUACUCUUAUGGCCAAAGGUAUUUGUAAACAUGUCAAAAAUGGCUAUGGAAGGUCUUGGCAGCAAAGACAGGAAAAGUUAGAAAGUAUAUGUGAGUUCCCUGAGACGGAAGGGAGAAAAACAACGCCAAACUGAAGAUAAGUGUAUCAGUUAUUGCCUACAUGCCAGGAAUACCAUAUGAGAGUUUAAGAAGUUAAAAUAGGCCGGGCGUGGUGGCUCACACCUGUAAUCCCAGC
rnacentral:lncRNA from 10 species